rnacentral:rRNA from 1 species
UACGAAGGGGGCUAGCGUUGCUCGGAAUUACUGGGCGUAAAGGGCGCGUAGGCGGAUAGUUUAGUCAGAGGUGAAAGCCCAGGGCUCAACCUUGGAAUUGCCUUUGAUACUGGCUAUCUUGAGUUCGGGAGAGGUGAGUGGAAUGCCGAGUGUAGAGGUGAAAUUCGUAGAUAAUUCGGCGGAAGCACCAGUGGCGAAGGCGACUGCCAGCUGGCCCGAUACUGACGUGAGAACGGCGGAAAGCGUGGGGAGCGAAACAGG